GUAAAUUCCGUCCAAGCCUAAAUAUUGGUGAGAGACCGAUAGGAAACAAGUACCGCAAGGGAAAGAUCAAAAGGACUUUGAGAAAAGAGUCAAAGAGUACUUGAAAUUGUUGAGAGGGAAGCGGAUGGGGGGCCGGCGGUGUGUCCCGGUCGAAUGUGGAAUGACAAUAAGCCAGUCUGCUGAUGGACUCAGUGCGUGAACCGACGCAGAUUGGGGCGGUGUCGCAAGCCUGAGCCUUUGUUGUUCUCGCAGAGACGUCGUCGCCCCAAUCGGGGCUAGCAAUGAGCGUCAUUGGCUUGCUCAGGCAUCAGCGCGCUCCAGGCGUUGGCCUGCGGGCUCCCCAUUCGGCCCGUCUUGAAACACGGACCAUGGAUUCUGACAUGUGUGCGAGUCAACGGGCAAGAAAACCCGUGAGCCAAAAGGAAGCUGAGUGGCGGGAUCCCCUUGAAGGUUGCACUACCGACCGACGUUGAUCUUCUGAGAAGGGUUCGAGUGUGAGCAUGCAUGUCGGGACCAGAAAGAUGGUGAACUAGGCCUGAGCGGGGCCAAGCCAGAGGAAACUCUGGUGGAGGCCAGCAGCGAUACUGACGUGCAAAUCUUUUGUUACUUGGGUAUAGGGGCGAGAGACUAAUUGAACCGUCUAGUAACUGGUUCCCUCCAAAGUUUCCCUCAGGAUAGCUGGAGCCCAUGGACAAGUUCUAUCGGGUAAAGCCAAUGAUUAGAGGCAUCAGGGGCACAACGCCCUCGACCUAUUCUCAAACUUUAAAUAGGUAGGACGGCGCAGCUACUUUGUUGAGCCGCGCCACGGAUUCGAGAGCUCCAAGUGUGCCAUUUUAUGUAAGCAGAACUGGCGAUGCGGGAUGAACCGAAAGCUGGCUUACGGUGCCCAACUGCGCGCUAACCUAGAACCCACAAAGGGUGUUGGUCGAUUAAGACAGUAGCACGGUGGUCAUGGAAGUGAAAAUUCAUUAAGGAGUGUGUAAUAACUGACCUAUUGAAUCUACUAGCCCUGAAAAUGGAUGGCGCUGAAGCGCGCGACCUAUACCUGGCCGUCGGGGCAAGUACCGAGCGGAGUGGCCGUCGGUGCAGAUCUGGGUGGUAGUAGCAAAUAUUCAAAUGAGAACUUUGAAGGCCAAAGAGGGGAGAGGUUCCAUGCAAACAACACUUGCACAUGGGUUAGUCGAUCCUAAGAGAAAGGGCAAUCUCGUCUGACAAUGCCAAGUGCGCAAGGAUCGAAAGGGAAUCAGGUUAAAAUUCCUAAACUGGGACUUGGCGGCUGACGGCAACGUUAGGGAGUCCGGAGACGUUAUCGGGGACCUCGGGAUGAGUUAUCUUUUCUAUUUAACAGCCUGCCCAAUCUGGAAAUGGCUCAGCCGGAGGUAGGGUCCAGCGGCUGGAAGAGCACCGCACGUCGCGCGGUGUUCGGUACAUCCUCGACGGCCCUUGAAAAUUUGGAGGACCGAGUGCCUCCCACGCCCGGUCGUACUCAUAACUUCAUCAGGUCUCCAAGGUGAACAGCCUCUUGUUGAUGGAACAAGGUAGGCAAGGGAAUUCGGCAAAAUGGAUCCGUAACCUUGGGAAAAGGAUUGGCUCUGAGAGCUGGGCACGGGGUUCCCCGUCCCAAAUUCGUCGGCUAUCGAUGGACUGCUCUCGCUGCGAGAGUGGGUCGUCGCGUGUCGGCUGGGGGACGGACUGGGAACGGCUCCUUCAGGGGCAUUCCCAGGUCACCGAAUAGUCGACUCAGAACUGGUACGGAAAAGGGGAAUCCGACUUUUUAAUUAAAACAAAGCAUUGCGAUGGUCCUUACGGAUGCUCACGCAAUGUGAUUUCUGCCCAGUGGUCUUAAUGUCAAAGUGAAGAAAUUCAACCAAGCGCGGGUAAACGGCGGGAGUAACUAUAACUCUCUUAAGGUAGCCAAAUGCCUCGUCAUCUAAUUAGUGACACGCAUGAAUGGAUUAAUGAGAUUCCUAUUGUCCCUGUCUACUAUACAGCGAAAGCUCAGCCAAGGGAACGGGCUUGGCAGAAUCAGUGGGAAAGAAGACCCUGUUGAGCAGUCUGACUCUUUGAAAUGACUGAAGAGGUGUAGGAUAAGUGGGAGCCGAAAAAGGCGAAAGUGAAAUACCACAACUUUUAAUGUUAUUUUACUUAUUCGGUGAAUCGGAAGCGGGGAAACGCCCCUCUUUUUGGACCCAAGGCUCACCUCGGCGGGUCGAUCAUGGCAGAAGACAUUGUUAGGUGGAAAGUUUGGCUGGGGCGGCACAUCUGUUAAAAGAUAACGCAGGUGUCCUAAGAUGAGCUCAACGAGAACAAAAAUCUCGUGUGGAACAAAAGGGUAAAAGCUCGUUUGAUUCUGAUUUUCAGUAGGAAUACAAACAAUAAAAGCGUGGCCUAUCAAACCUUAGACCUUCUGAAUUUGCAGCUAGAGGUGUCAGAAAAGUUACCACAGGGAUAACUGGCUUGUGGCAGCAAAGCGUUCAUAGCGACGUUGCUUUUUAUCCUUCGAUGUCGGCUCUUCCUAUCAUUGUGAAGCAGAAUUCACCAAGUGUUGGAUUGUUCACCCACCAAUAGGAAAUGUGAGCUGGGUUUAGACCAUCGUGAGACAUAUUAGUUUUACCCUACUGAUGACAGCGUCGCAAUAGUAAUUCAACCUAGUACGAGAGGAACUGUUGAUUCGCACAAUUGGUCAUCGCACUUGGUUGAAAAGCCAGUGGCGCGAAGCUACCGUGCACUGGAUUAUGACUGAACGCCUCUAAGUCAUAAUCCGGGCUAGAAGCAAUGCAUGCACCCGCCGCCUGAUUGCCGACCACCAGUAGGGGCCCUCGGCCCCAAAGGGCUUGCGUAUUUGGCCAAGCCCUCACAAUCGAGCUGUUGCGCGGGCCACCUUGAAGUGUUAUUUCAACCGAGC
rnacentral:rRNA from 1 species